rnacentral:rRNA from 1 species
UACGAAGGGUGCAAACGUUGCUCGGAAUUAUUGGGCGUAAAGCGCACGUAGGCGGCUUUGCAAGUCGGAUGUGAAAUCCCUCGGCUUAACCAAGGAAGUGCAUCCGAAACUGCAGAGCUUGAGUACUUAAGAGGAUCGCGGAAUUCCAGGUGUAGCGGUGAAAUGCGUAGAUAUCUGGAGGAACACCGGUGGCGAAGGCGGCAUCCUGGACCGGCAUUGACGCUGAGGCGCGAAAGCCAGGGGAGCAAACGGG